rnacentral:tRNA from 1 species
GGGGGCGGAUGGGUGCUGGUGUGCCUUCCGGUCUUCAAAACCGGUGUGACUCGCUUGCGGGUCAGGUGGGUUCGAUUCCCACACGCUCCCGCCA